rnacentral:tRNA from 1 species
AAGCCCCGGAGCCUUUUAGGGCUCUUCUUCAAACUUGCAAUUUGAUGUGCUUGCACCCCAGGGCU